CUCUGUAUUCCCGGGAUUCCACACAGGAAGAUCAGGGUGAAGAUCUGAUGAACAUGAAAGUUGAGGGUGAAGUAGAAGAGACGUAUGUGAGGGAUGAUCAGCAAUAUACGGAGGAGGCUGGAAUGACGAGGACAUUCAUAGAGGAAGACACUUCUACAGAGAAUAGCACAGAUGAUUCCAGUAAUUGGACCCCACCAGAGAGAUGUCCCCG